rnacentral:rRNA from 1 species
GUCCUAGCCCUAAACGAUCAGGACUUGGGGUGCCGCACGUUCGUGCGUCGUCCCGGAGCUAACGCGUUAAGUCCUGCACCUGGGGAGUACGGUCGCAAGACUGAAACUCAAAGGAAUUGACGGGGCCCGCACAAGCGGUGGAACAUGUGGUUCAAUUCGACGCUACGCGAGGAACCUUACCUGGGCUCGAAGCGCACCUGACCAGCUGUAGAAAUACGGCCUUCCCGCAAGGGACAGGUGUGGAGGCGCUGCAUGGCUGUCGU